rnacentral:sRNA from 1 species
GCUGGGUGUGGUGGUGCACGCCUGUAAUCCCAGUGGCUCUGGAGGCUGAAACAGGAGGAUCAUGAGUUCAAAGCCAGCCUCAGCAACAUAGCAAGGCACUUAGAAACUCAGUGAGACCCUGUCUCUA